GCUGGUGUGGCGGAAUAGGCAGACGCAAGGGACUUAAAAUCCCUCGGUAGUUAAUACCGUACCGGUUCAAGUCCGGUCACCAGCACCA
rnacentral:tRNA from 1 species